rnacentral:lncRNA from 1 species
GUGUGAUAGCAGUUGUGAUAUUUAUUUUGCUCUGCAUCUCUGCUAUAGCCAUAUGCAUUUACCAACAGAAAAAGUUACGCAAAGAAAAUGAAUCAAAAGUUUCGAAAGUUGAAGAGUGCUAGGACCACUCAGCAAAGUGCACGUGUCAAGACACAGUCCUGAGAGACAAUGUCUUCUGGUUGGCAGUGGGCUGAUCUACCCCAGCGACUGUGGACCGUCCUGAUCUGGUCAUCCCUGUGGGUGGGCCAGUGCUAACCACCUGCUGAGGACCUGGGGUGCUGGGAGGCCCAUUCUGCCUUGGUGGACACCUCCCUCCAGUGCAAUUUAUAUGACAGUGAAGGAGGAAUCCUCAUUCAUCAUGGUGGAGUAGUUUGCCCCAGAAGGAAUGCUCUCUUCCAACACAGAAAUUUAAUUUGUGUAAUAAUUGUGGAUUUUAGCUGAGAAAAUGUCCACGAGGCUCUGGUCCUACGAGACAAAGUCAAACUCUAAUGUUCUUUAUUGCUCAGAAGCUUAUCUGGGAUCCUGUUCUUGUUCCCUGCUGAUAUUUUUUUUGGACAGGAAAUGCUUCUUUGAUCACUUCACCAGCAUUUCUGUAGUCCUGCAAUCCAGUGCCAAGGGCCUGCUAAAAAGUUAAUGGCGUGUUUGAUUUCCUUAU